AAAUCCUUCUAUUGGGAGAAUUAAAGUUUAAAGACAAAAGAAUCUAACAAAACUAAAAAGGGGGAAAUGGGGGAUCUAUAUGACCUAGAUUUUGAUGGAAUCAUCUGUGAUAGCUGGGAUGAGAGCUCUGUCUCUGCUCUUAAGGCUGCCAAACUAUGAUGGUCCCACCUCUUCGAUGAUGUGGACUCUG